UCAGUUGACUUCUUCUUUAACAUAUCCAGGUAGAACCUGUCUAGUAUAAUUUCAGUGUUGAACCUAAAUCGAUCCAUAAAGUCUUGUGAUAUAUCAUUCCACCCACGUUAUUUAAGGAUAUCUGUUGUGUGUACCAUGCAAGAGCUUCACCAGACAAACUUCUUAUGAAUAAUUUUAUUCUAAUCAUUUCGUUUCUCUCUACUCCUACCAACUUGACACAGUAGGAUCUCAAAUGUGUAUGUGGAUCACCGACUCUAUUGAACAAAUAAAAUUUUAGAGGAUUAUAACCUACAGUCAAGUCAAUGUCAGGUUGCAAAUAUAAAUCCUCAUACUCUAGGAUUUUGCUUUCCCUAGUAGUUUGGAGGUUUCUCAUUGCUUUCUUAAGAUCAUGAAUCUUCCUUGAUAAAUAAUCAUCGACCUUUGCCUGGUCAUCCUUAUCUAUUUUUUCAUGCUGGUCUACCUCGAGUUAGAACCUAACCAUAAUUGGAUUGGUAAAGGUUUGAUUUUCUACUGCAUAUACAGAAGGAACAUAUUGAGUGUAAGGAGUGGCAACAUGUGCCCCUUGUAUAUACUAGGCUGGAUAAUUUUAUAUGGUGAGAGUAUUUUGGAUUGGAGGUGGGGGAGGAUGAUAAGAGGUAUUAGAAGGAGAUUGAUUUGGUUGGUUUGUGAGAGUAGUUUUAAGUAGUGGAUAGGUGUUAACAGGUGGUGAUACGUGAGAGAUAUGAACUAUAGAUUGGUUUGGUGGGUUGACGAGUAGUGGGUUAGGAGGAGUAGCAUUGGUAGUGUAAGUGGGUUGUUGACUUUAUGGAGGUUUAUAGAUGGAUAGUUGAUUUGGUGGAUUCGCGGUGGUGGUUGGAGGUAGAUUGUUGCUGGUAGGUAGAGAAUGUUGAGAAGGAAAGUGUUCGAGUACUAGCAAAUCAAGUGAUGGAAAGUGUGGUGGAUUUCGUACGGCAUUUUUGGGUUCUAGAAGUGGACUCUGGAGUGUAAUGGACAAAUUGGUCAAGUCCUUAACCCGAUUUAGCUCUCCACGUAGAUCCUUAAUAUCUUGAGUCAAGCGGGCAAUGUGCUCAUCACGUUGAACAAUAGUUUCAUUUUAUUUUUGAGAGUCUCUAGAGAGUCCCUAGGAGCCACAGUAUUACCAACUACAUAGUGAUUUUUCUUCCUUGAAUAGCCCAACUACAUCAUGGUAAUGUUGAAGCCUUGGACCUUGUGAAGUAAGGAUGGUCAGCCAGUUUGAUGUCAACAC
rnacentral:lncRNA from 1 species